rnacentral:rRNA from 1 species
AUGCGUCAAGUACAAGAGCUUCUCGACAAAGGUUAUAUACGCGAAUCCCUUAGUCCUUGUGCUGUUCCUAUUAUUCUAGUGCCGAAAAAGGAUGGUACAUCACGUAUGUGUGUUGAUUGUAGAGGCAUUAAUAAUAUUACUAUUCGUUAUCGUCAUCCUAUUCCUAGGCUAGAUGAUAUGCUUGAUGAAUUGAGUGGCUCUACAAUAUUCUCCAAAGUUGAUUUGCGUAGUGGCUACCAUCAAAUUCGUAUGAAAUUGGGAGAUGAAUGGAAAACAGCAUUUAAAACUAAGUUUGGAUUAUAUGAGUGGUUAGUCAUGCCUUUUGGGUUAACUAAUGCACCUAGUACUUUCAUGAGAUUAAUGAACGAAGUUUUACGUGCUUUCAUUGGACGAUUUGUGGUAGUUUACUUUGAUGACAUAUUGAUUUAUAGCAGAUCUUUGGAGGAACAUUUGGAACAUUUACGUGCUGUUUUUAUUGCUCUACGUGAUGCACGUUUGUUUGGUAACCUUGGGAAGUGCACCUUUUGCACCGACCGAGUAUCUUUUCUUGGCUACGUUGUUACUCCACAGGGAAUUGAAGUUGAUAAAGCCAAGAUUGAAGCUAUUGAGAGUUGGCCGCAGCCCAAAACGGUCACACAAGUGAGGAGUUUUCUUGGCCUCGCUGGAUUCUAUAGGCGUUUUGUGAGAGAUUUCAGCACCAUUGCUGCACCUCUCAACGAGCUUACAAAGAAGGAUGUGCCUUUUGUUUGGGGUACCGCACAGGAAGAAGCCUUCACGGUAUUGAAAGAUAAGUUGACACAUGCUCCUUUACUCCAACUUCCUGAUUUUAAUAAGACUUUUGAGCUUGAAUGUGAUGCUAGUGGAAUUGGAUUAGGAGGUGUGUUAUUACAAGAUGGCAAACCUGUUGCAUACUUUUCUGAAAAAUUGAGUGGGCCUAGUCUGAAUUAUUCUACUUAUGAUAAAGAAUUAUAUGCUCUUGUUCGGACUUUAGAAACAUGGCAACAUUAUUUAUGGCCCAAAGAAUUUGUUAUACAUUCUGAUCAUGAAUCUUUGAAACAUAUUAAAAGUCAAGCUAAACUGAAUCGUAGACAUGCUAAAUGGGUUGAUUUCAUUGAGACUUUCCCUUAUGUCAUUAAACACAAGAAGGGAAAAGAAAAUGUUAUUGCUGAUGCAUUGUCUCGUCGCUAUACUAUGCUUUCACAACUUGACUUCAAAAUAUUUGGUUUGGAGACCAUCAAAGAUCAAUAUGUGCAUGAUGCUGAUUUUAAAGAUGUAAUGCAGAAUUGUAAAGAAGGAAGAAUGUGGAACAAGUUUGUUGUUAACGAUGGAUUUGUGUUUCGUGCUAACAAGCUAUGCAUUCCAGCUAGCUCCGUUCGUCUUUUGUUGUUGCAGGAGGCGCAUGGAGGAGGAUUAAUGGGACACUUUGGCGUGAAGAAGACGGAGGACGUACUUGCUACACAUUUCUUUUGGCCAAAGAUGAGACGAGAUGUUGAGCGUUUUAUUGCUCGCUGCACUGCAUGUCAAAAAGCUAAGUCACGACUCAAUCCUCAUGGUUUAUAUAUGCCUUUGCCUGUACCUAGUGUUCCUUGGGAGGAUAUAUCUAUGGACUUUGUUUUAGGUUUACCUCGAACAAAGAAGGGGAGGGAUAGCAUAUUUGUUGUCGUGGAUAGAUUCUCGAAAAUGGCACACUUUAUACCAUGUCAUAAAAGUGAUGAUGCUGUUAAUGUUGCUGAUUUGUUCUUUCGUGAAAUUAUUCGCUUGCAUGGUGUGCCAAAUACUAUUGUUUCAGAUCGUGAUACUAAAUUUCUUAGCCACUUUUGGAGAUGUUUGUGGGCUAAGUUGGGGACUAAACUGCUUUUUAGUACUAAUUGUCACCCCCAAACUGAUGGACAAACUGAAGUAGUCAAUAGAACGUUGUCUACUAUGCUUAGGGCUGUUUUGAAGAAUAAUAAGAAAAUGUGGGAGGAAUGCUUGCCUCAUAUUGAAUUUGCUUAUAAUCGUUCAUUGCAUUCUACUACUAAGAUGUGCCCUUUUGAAGUUGUGUAUGGUUUCCUACCUCGUGCACCUAUUGAUUUGUUGCCUCUUCCAUCUUCGGAGAAGGUUAAUUUUGAUGCUAAACAACGUGCUGAAUUGAUUUUAAAAAUGCAUGAGUUAACUAAGGAAAACAUUGAGCGCAUGAAUGCUAAAUAUAAACUUGCUGGAGAUAAGGGUAGAAAACAUGUUGUGUUUGCACCUGGAGAUCUUGUUUGGUUACAUUUGCGUAAGGAUAGAUUUCCUGAUUUGCGCAAAUCAAAGUUAAUGCCACGUGCUGAUGGUCCCUUUAAGGUGUUAGAGAAAAUAAAUGAUAAUGCAUAUAAACUUGAGCUGCCUGCAGAUUUUGGGGAAACAGACCCUCGUGGUCAGGUUGAUCGUGCUCCGGAGUCCGUGUCGGACCCAUAA